AUGGGACAGGCCAGGCUGAAGCCACCUGUUGGUAGCUGCUUGCUACAGGCUGGGAUGAAGCAACCUGUUGGUAGCUGCUUGUUACAGGCUGGGAUGAAGAUACUCUCUGGGAAGCAGAUGGGACAGGCCAGGCUGAAGCCACCUGUUGGUAGCUGCUUGCUACAGGCUGGGAUGAAGCAACCUGUUGGUAGCUGCUUGUUACAGGCUGGGAUGAAGAUACUCUCUGGGAAGCAGUUUGGACAGGCUGAUCUGAUGCUUUUUGCUGGUAGCCGCUUUGGACUGGCUUUGAAGUGCUAGUAGAGGGCUUAAAGCUUGAGGCGUAUGGAUGUGCCCUAGAAACAAAGCUGGAUGGCAAAGUGCUCUGCACAGGCCGAUAUGAAACUCCCUGCUGGUACGUGCUUUGGGCAAGUCCUAGAGCGCCAACAGAGGGCUUAUAGGUUGAAGUAGAGGAAACGUCCUGAGAGCUGUACAGACUCGAAGCACUUUGUCCGGUUCCCACAGCACUAGAACCAAAGCCAACACUUGGGGAAGAAAGGCCAGACUGAUAGCUGCUCUGUACAGGUUGAGCUGAAGAUACUCUCUGGGAAGCAGAUGGGACAGGCCGGGCUGAAACCACGUGUUGGUAGCUGCUCGCUACAGGCUGGGCGGAAGCAACCUGAUGGUAGCUGCUCGCUACAGGCUGGGCGGAAGCCAACUGUUGGUAGCUGCUCGCUACAGGCUGGGCGGAAGCAACCUGCUGGUAGCUGCUCAGGACAGGCUGGGCUGAAGAUGCUCUCUGGGAAGCAGAUGGGACAGGCUGGGCUGAAGCCACGCGUUGGUAGCUGCUCACUACAGGCUGGGCGGAAGCAACCUGCUGGUAGCUGCUCAGGACAGGCUGGGCUGAAGAUGCUCUCUGGGAAGCAGAUGGGAAAAGCGGGGUUGAAGCCACCUGUUGGUAGCUGCUCGCUCCAGGCUGGGCGGAAGCCACCUGUUGGUAGCUGCUCGCUCCAGGCUGGGCGGAAGCCACCUGUUGGUAGCUGCUCGCUCCAGGCUGGGCGGAAGCCACCUGUUGGUAGCUGCUCGCUCCAGGCUGGGCGGAAGCCACCUGUUGGUAGCUGCUCGCUCCAGGCUGGGCUGAAGAUGCUCUCUGGGAAGCAGAUGGGAAAAGCGGGGCUGAUGCCACCUGUUGGAAGCUGCUCGCUAGAGGUUGAGCUGAAGCAACCUGUUGGUAGCUGCUCGCUACAGGCUGGGCUGAAGAUACUCUCUGGGAAGCAGAUGGGACAGGCUGGGCGGAAGAUACUCUCUGGGAAGCAGAUGGGACAGGCUGGGCGGAAGAUACUCUCUGGGAAGCAGAUGGGACAGGCUGGGUUGAAGCCACCUGAUGGUAGCUGCUCGGGACAGGCUGGGCGGAAGCCACCUGUUGGUAGCUGCUCGCUACAGGCUGUGCGGAAGCCACCUGUUGGUAGCUGCUCGCUACAGGCUGGGCGGAAGAUACUCUCUGGGAAGCAGAUGGGAGAGGCUGGGUUGAAGCCACCUGAUGGUAGCUGCUCGGGACAGGCUGGGCGGAAGCCACCUGAUGGUAGCUGCUCGGGACAGGCUGGGCGGAAGAUACUCUCUGGGAAGCAGAUGGGACAGGCCGGGCUGAAGCUACCUGUCGGCAGCUGCUCUGGACAGGCCGGGCUGAACCUGCCUGCUGGUAUGCUGUCUGCACAGACUGGUCUGAGGCUUGUUGGAAGGAGGUGCUUAGGGCAGGCUUAAGAUCCCUAGUUAGUGGCUGAAAGCUUGAGGUGUAGGUAGUUCCCUGAAAACUGAAUGCCCUUGAGCCUGCAUUGGUCAAACUACUAUCAAAGGCCUGAGUUUUUGAGAAGUCCUGGGUUUCCUCAAAAUAAGCUUCUUGACUAGGCACAAAUCCAGAAUCAGAGCUUGUCUGAGCAGUAGUACUUUCAGUGCUCCCAUCCUGAGCACCAUCUUUUGUACAAUGAUGCCUGUAAACUAAGUAUAGUUCACAUUCAAAGCAUGUAGUUUGUUAGAACUUUUCAUCUUGCUAAUGGAGAGUGAAAACUUACCACUUCCUGCAUCAGCAUAACUCAGUACUAGUAACAAAAUCCUGUUGAAAACAGAUAUAAUUAACAAAGAAAGCAAGCUGUUUUCUGUUAAAUAUCACUAAAUGAAAUCGACAUACCACAAAGGCUUCCAGAGUGUUUCUGCCAUUGCAAAAAUCAAAGCUCCAAAAACAACCCUGGCCACCCUCAAAAACAGACAAAUGUUUCUGUCCUACUUCUCCAAGCAGCCACAUGUUCCUUUAAUAUCAUCAAAAUGCACCUGCCCCACCUCUCCCUAUU
ensembl:lncRNA